UAUAAUCAUUUUCAAUCUCCUUAUGUAAGAAACACACUUAUAUGAUUUCGAUCGUGUUGCUCCUUCAGAGAAGAAACGUUCUAAAAUUUUCGAUUUGGAUUCCAAACUUGAGAAGAGUCUUUUCACCCCCUUCAGAGAGAUCAAGGUCAAGGUUCACUUAGUGUCCUUUGGAAAAGAAUAAUAAUUCAACCACCAGAAAAUGAAGAUCUGCAACAUAUAGUCAAAGUGAGGUAUCCUGAUUUGGAGCUUCAUGCAAGCGAACUUAUAGGGAUCUCUUAAAAUGGUGUAAAAGAGUUACUGGAGUUACUUCAUGUGUGUAGCUUGUAUUUCAUCUCGGGCUGUUGAUGUAUUUGCGGCCUUUCCAGCUUCAUUUGAUAACCGGUUAUCAAUAAUGAAAGAGAUAGGAAAGUUGUGGAAAACAUGGGAUUCUGCUGCUGAGACCUUAUAUCCCCUCGACAAACCAAUAUAUCAGGAUUCUGUCGCAGGUUUAAAAAUAGGCCGGAUUGAAAUUGGCUUGGUUGGUAUCCACAUUGCAAUAUGUGCUUAACUUCUCUUGUUUGUAAACUAUUGUAAUGCUAGCACUUCUUGUGCUUUUCUUUAAUUUGGCUUUUUCCAAAAAAGAGAUGAUGAACAACACGCCGACACCGUCGUCCAACACGCCGGUCAAGCCGUUGCUGAAGGCGCCAAAAUCCUUCAGGAUCGCAUUGCAGCUAGGAAUUAUAGAAGUGUUGCACAGACAGUUAAAAGAUUGGAAGAAGCUGCUAUUUCGCAUAGGGGACCUGAGAGAGUGCAGUUGCUUAGGAGAUGGCUUGUUGUCCUUAAAGAGAUUGAGAAUUUGUCUAGAGCAUUGGCGGAAGGUAAAGAGAAGACUCUUGAGCAGCACCUUGUCGUUGAAGAAAUAAAGGAGAACCCACAAAGACCUUCUCUGGUUCUAUUGACAACAAAUGCAGAUGUGUUGAGAUUCAUGGAAGUAAGGGUGAGAUCUAUUUGAAUACGACAGAUUGGUGACAAAUUCAGUAGUAAACAUAGACUGAUAGUAAACAGAGUGAAGUAGAUAAACUACUACAAUAAAAGUUUAGAUGGCAUAAAACUAGGGCCAAUAGAAAAGUGAGGGAAUCAAUUGUCAACUUACGCCUGUCUCAAUAAGCCAGCCAGAAAGCGCAUUACUCCAAUUGUAAUUGAACCAUGAGUUUAGGUCUGUGUGAAAGGGAUCAGAGUUUUCAAGUAAAUUGGAUUAAGUAUAGACCAUGGAAAAUUAUUACAAAUUAAGGCUUUUCGUUGUAAUUGCUUAUGCAAUCUUUUGUUAUUGUUUCAGAUUCAUUGUGACUAAUAAUGGAUCAGGUUAUAGUGUGGUUGGUUUGAGGUAA